UAUGCCAAAUAUGGCUGUAUGAUAGUCAGGUGUUAUAGUCUGGCCACAGAUUUUAGAAAAUACAUCAAAUAUCUGUCUCCAGUAGUCACUGAGGAAGGCACAUGACCAGAACAUGUGUCCUACUGUAGCAGAAGAGUUUGGACAAUUUAUCCCUUGAAUAGUGCAGGCGAUGUAGUACUUUAAAU